AGCCCCGUGGUGUAGCGGUCAAGCAUGGCGGGCUUUGGCCCCGCCGACGCGGGUUCGAAUCCCGCCGGGGCUA
rnacentral:tRNA from 1 species